ensembl:lncRNA
GGGGGGGAUACUGGGAGGACUGGGGGGGAUACCGGGAGGACUGGGAGGACUGGGAGGACUGGGAGGACUGGGGGGGAUACUGGGAGGACUGGGACGCAGCAGCUCAUACUGCUCUGCACUGAUUCCUAUGGAUCUGUACUGGUCUGUACCAGUCCAUACUGGUCCACGCUGGCCCAUACUGGUCUACACUGGCCCAUACUGGUCUAUACUGGCCCAGGCUGGUCUAUGUUAGCCCAUAGAAGCCCAUACUGGUCUAUACUGGCCUAUAGAGGCCCAUACUGGCCCAUACUGGUCUAUGCUGGCCCGUACUGGUCUAUAACGGCCUAUACUGGCCUAUAACGGCCUAUACUGGCCAUACUGGUCUGUACUGGUCUAUAAAGGCCCAUAGUGGUCUAUGCUGACCCAUACUGGACCCUACUGGUUUAUUCUGGCCUAUAUUGGCACAUACUGGUCCAUACUGGUCCAUACUGACCCAUAGUGGCCUACGCUGGCCCAUACUGGUUUAUACUGGUCUAUACUGGUCGAUAGAAGCCCAUACUGGCCUAUACUGGCCCAUACUGGUCUAUCCUGGCCCAUAGGAAUCUAUGCUGGCCCAUAGCGGCCCAUAGUGGUCUAUGCUGCUCCAUACUGAUCUAUACUGGCCCAUACUGGUCCAUACUGGUCCAUACUGGAAUCUAUGCUGGCCCAUAGCGGCCCAGAGUGGUCUAUGCUGCUCUAUACUGAUCUAUACUGGCCCAUACUGGUCCAUACUGGUCCAUACUGGCCCAUAGUGGCCUACACUGGCCCAUACUGGCUUAUACUGGUCUAUACUGGUCGAUAGAAGCCCAUACUGGCCUAUACUGGCCCAUACUGGUCUAUCCUGGCCCAUAGGAAUCUAUGCUGGCCCAUAGCGGCCCAUAGUGGUCUAUGCUGCUCUAUACUGAUCUAUACUGGUCCAUACUGGUCCAUACUGGUCCAUACUGGCUUAUACUGGUCUAUACUGGUCGAUAGAAGCCCAUACUGGCCUAUACUGGCCCAUACUGGUCUAUCCUGGCCCAUAGGAAUCUAUGCUGGCCCAUAGCGGCCCAGAGUGGUCUAUGCUGCUCUAUACUGAUCUAUACUGGCCCAUACUGGUCCAUACUGGUCCAUACUGGCCCAUAGUGGCCUACACUGGCCCAUACUGGCUUAUACUGGUCUAUACUGGUCGACAGAAGCCCAUACUGGCCUAUACUGGCCCAUACUGGUCUAUCCUGGCCCAUAGGAAUCUAUGCUGGCCCAUAGCGGCCCAUAGUGGUCUAUGCUGCUCUAUACUGAUCUAUACUGGCCCAUACUGGUCCAUACUGGUCCAUACUGGCCCAUAGUGGCCUACGCUGGCCCAUGCUGGUCCAUACUGGCUUAUACUGGUCGAUAGAAGCCCAUACUGGCCUAUACUGGCCCAUACUGGUCUAUCCUGGCCCAUAGGAAUCUAUGCUGGCCCAUAGCGGCCCAUAGUGGUCUAUGCUGCUCUAUACUGAUCUAUACUGGCCCAUACUGGUCCAUACUGGCCCAUAGUGGCCUACGCUGGCCCAUGCUGGUCCAUACUGGCUUAUACUGGUCUAUACUGGUCGACAGAAGCCCAUACUGGCCUAUACUGGCCCAUACUGGUCUAUCCUGGCCCAUAGGAAUCUAUGCUGGCCCAUAGCGGCCCAUAGUGGUCUAUGCUGCUCUAUACUGAUCUAUACUGGCCCAUACUGGUCCAUACUGGUCCAUACUGGCUUAUACUGGUCUG